rnacentral:rRNA from 1 species
AUACGUAGGGUGCGAGCGUUGUACGGAAUUACUGGGUGUAAAGGGAGCGUAGGCGGGAGUGCAAGUCAGAUGUGAAAUACAUGGGCUCAACCCAUGGGCUGCAUUUGAAACUGCAUUUCUUGAGUGAAGUAGAGGUAAGCGGAAUUCCUGGUGUAGCGGUGAAAUGCGUAGAUAUCAGGAGGAACACCGGUGGCGAAGGCGGCUUACUGGGCUUUUACUGACGCUGAGGCUCGAAAGCGUGGGGAGCAAACAGGAUUAGAUACCCUGGUAGUCCACGCUGUAAACGAUGAUCACUAGGUGUGGGGGGACUGACCCCUUCCGUGCCGCAGUUAACACAAUAAGUGAUCCACCUGGGGAGUACGGCCGCAAGGCUAAAACUUAAAGGAAUUGACGGGG